ensembl:snRNA U6 U6 spliceosomal RNA
GUGCUUUCUUCAGCAGCAUAUAUAAUAAAAUUGGAACGAUACAAACAAGAUUAGCAUGGCUCCUGUACAAGGAGCUUACUACUUUGUAGUGUUUCUGUUUUUC